UUUUUUUAUAUUAUAUUAAAAAAAAUUAAUUUAUCUCUAACCUUUUCUGAAACACAGCCAAUCAUAAUUUCUUAGUGAGAUUAGUUACACAUGUUUCAGAAAUUUAAUGCAUACAGUAAAUGGGAAAUAUUUACGCACUCCUGUAAAAUGGCAGCUUUUGUGACGUUAAAAUAAGAAUAAAAAUAAAACCAUUUUUGCCACCCUCAAUAUGAAACUACAGCAUAUACUAUUUAAGUGAAAAACUACCAGAAAAAAAAAACAUUUAGGGGUAAAAAGAAAAAUUCUGUAGGAUUUCUUGGUUUAAUCUAACUGCUGAAGCCAUGAUUCAAAAAGAACAGCAUGGUAUCACACUUGUUGAAAGGUAUCAAUCAGGAGAGGGGUAUAAAGGGAUUUCCAUAAAUAUGAGCUCACCAUGGAACACCAUAAAGGCCAUCAUCAACAAAUAAUGAGAAUAGAACACAGUGAUGUCACCAAGAGCAGGACGUCUCUCCAAAAUCUAUAAAAGUACAACACAAAACUUUGCACUGAGGCUGCCAAGAGACAUAUAGCAACAUUAAAGGAGCUUUAGAAAUAUCUGACAAGUACUGAUCAUUCUGUAUGGCUGGCUAUGGGGUGAGGUAGCAAAACAAUACCUAUAUAUCUCACAAAAAAUAUCAUGCUCACUAAAUCACACCAAACUAUGCAAAUAAAUCACAUCACUCCAUGUAGCAAAAUGUGUUCUGGUCUUAUGAGCCUAAUCCCAAAAUGUAUAAUUGCAUAAUUCCAAAAGGUAUGUUUGUUGCAAAAAUUUAAGAACACCAUACCCACGCUGCAGCAUCAUGCUUUUGAGCUGUUUUUCUGGAGCUAGGGCUAUUAUUAUUAUGAAUAGCUACAAAUACCGUUUGAUUUUAGUGCAAAACCUUCAGGUGUCUCCAUGUAAACUAAACACGAAAAGGAAUUUCACUUUUCAGCGAAACAGUGACCCAAAGCACACAUGAAAAUGGCUUAACCAACAGUUUUUGACUGAGUUAGCCAAAACCCAGACCUGAAUCCAACUAAAAAUUUGUGGCUUGAGCUAAAGCAGACUGUGCAUAUACAGGAGAUGCCCUUACAGUUUGAUGGAUCUAGAACACAUUUGCAAGAAAACAUUGCAGAGUCAGUCAUGAGGUGCCAAAAAGACACCUAAAUAAAAUCAGAAGGAGCUUCAAGUCAGUAUUAUUUUAGGGAUGUGCAACCAACUAUUUUAUUUUUUCCGAUUUUCCUGAUUAUUUUUUACUUCAUUGUAUACAUUGAAAUUUCACAUUGAGACUAGAAAAAAAGUUCUGAGAUGAUUUAUCAUGGCUUCAUUUUUUAACAGGGGUGUGUAGACUUUCAAUUAUAUGUAAUUCAUUAUUAUAUUAAUAUUAUUAAUUAUCCAUCAUAUAUUAUUAAUUGGAAAGAAAAUGCCUACAUUUAAAGCAAUUCCUCCUUCUCUGCCUUUACAUAUACAAGCACCUGCUUCCUCCCCAACAUCUUAUGCUAUGCUGUUUUAAUACCACUUAUUUCAAGUCUUGAGUGUAUUUCAUUAGCUGUAAGCUGGGAGCCAGUUAGCGAUUGGGCUUCUCCUGGGCACUGAGUGCCGUCUGAGGGAUAUGAGGGAUUGGUUAUGAGUGGAAAAGCAGCCGGGUGACCUGCACUCCACAAGCCUCCUCUAUUCAGCUCAACCGGGACCCAGUUAUCCUCUUAUCCCUCCAGUCUCAGUGGAGAGAGCAGGCAGCAUAGAGUACGAGGAGAACUGAUAAUGCUAGCACCCCCUUCCCAACCCAUCGUAAUCUUUUUCUUAUACAAAUGCUUUCAAAGAGAGCCAUGAAUUUUAAUAUCGCCCCCUCUACCCUCCUCAUUCGUCCUUCUAACAUAGUUCUAUGCCAGUUUUUUUCCCUGUGUGUUUCACUCCUACACAAAUAUCUGUGUUUUUUAAAUAUUUUCAGGUAGCCUAUUAUUCCUCCUCCUCUAAACUAACGCACUUUCCCGCCUUCAUAAUGCCAUUAUAUCAUGGCAUUCCCUUGCCUGAAUAAUUACCCAAGACACAGUCAUCUGUUAUCAUUUGGGGUUUGAAGGACACAUCGGGGGUCCCUGUUUCGCAGGCUCUGAAUCAGCGGUGACCCUGCUCAUGCCAUGUGGAGCCACUGUGAGAGCAAAGGCCUCGCUAAUCACAGCUUGUUACAAGGCUGCUAAUUGAACAAGCUCUGCCCUUUUUUUUCUAAGUCCUGAAAACAUCAUUUAGCUCUGCUAUUUGAGUCACUGAUGAAAAACAUUAGUGAGUGCAAAGAAGCACUAGCCACCAUGGAAAGCUCAGGCUUGUCACAGUAUAACUGCAUUUGUAUGUAAGUAUGUAGUGGCACAGUCAUGCAGUAUGUGUGAAUGAAGCAUUGCUGGUUUUGUUUAAACUGCAUGAUAUUUUGUAAUGGCUGAAGUGGCUGCCGCAAUGUGUGUGUGGGAGAGAAGGAAAGAGAGAAAGAGUGGCGUGUCUUUUCUGCUCUCCUCCAUCUUGACACAGCACACUCAGCCUAAUCACACAUAAUUGGAUGGGAGGAGUAAAGGGCUGCUGAAGCCUUUGUGUGCAAAGGGCAAGUGGUCAAGUUAAUGGGGCCCUCAUUCUGAGUAGAUGGAGAUCUCUCUCUCUCUCUCUCUCUCUCUCUCUCUCUCACUGUGUGUGUGUGAGUGAAUGUGAAUGUGUUUCUCUUUCCUUGGUUUACAUUUUUUUAUGCAGUGAUUACAGUGUAAAAGAGGAUUUAGGAGGGAAGAGUUUAAACUGUGGACCCACUGGUCUUACCUUUUUUUUCUUUUUACAAUAAUUAUUGAAAUAUUAAUUUUACAUUCUAUUUUUAAAUUUAAAUUGUCUUGAAUUUAAUAUCUUAAUUUCUGUAGUAAUUGCUGAAAGGAUUUCUUUUAUUUGAUUGUAAGGUAAUGACUAAAGGAUUAAACAAUAAGUAUUCUGUGUAUGAAAAAUAAAAGAAUGACUGAAUCAAUUAAAGUUGCUGAGGUCUCUACCUUGAUGAAGACCAAAUAUACUUUGUCACUGUUUUAAAAUUGUUCUGGCCAAAAUAAUGGUGCAUCAGAGUCCCUAUAAUGGUUUAUUAGUGGAUUGGGUACACCUCAUCUUCAGAGGUGGAUUCAAUGCAGUUGUUGAAAGUCCUUUAUCCAGAUAUUAAUCCAUUUUCUAAAGAGAUCAUUCUACCAAAAACUGAGCCCAUCAGUUACAUUACUCUAGAUACUAUAAACUCAGAUGUAUUGCUAUAUUACCUUAUCACAUCUUUUCCUGCUUCAGACUUCAACCAGCCUAUCAACUAAUUCUAAACACUCUGUCAGCAGUGUGUGGUUAUUGAUUUGAGUAUCAACUUCUCUCUUAAUCAGGUUUAUGGUGAUGUUUAGCACAUCUAUAGACUAUCAAUUCAUCCAUAGUCUGUAUUUCAGCUCACAUGGACUUAACUGAUACAUUUUAUUAUACGCUGAACAUGAACACCAUUUGAGAUGUUGAUAACUGGUAAAUUUGCUGUCUAAUGACAAUCUUAGGAUGAUUUGUACUAUCUAAAGUAGACUGUCCAAAUAAACUUUUACCACACUGGUUUGCUUUCCUUUAAAGAAGCUCCAUAUGCAUUAUACAUAAUAAACAUAUUAUGUUGCAUACUAACAUGAUCAUACUUCAAAAUUGUUUUCUGUUAUCAUUGUACUUUUAAUGAUGGGACAGCGUAAUUUUUCAUUCCCCUUCUCUCUCUAUCUUGUUCUAUCUGUUUUUCUAGAAGUUUUUCUACAGUGUUCAUCUUCCACUUUUCUAGACUCCCUAUUUUGUUAUACCUUAUAACUUUGCCUUAACUUAAAUCUGUCUACCCUGUCAUACAAUCCAAUCUCCUCAGCUGGGUAGACUCUAAAUGUCAUCAACAACAUCAUGAUGUUCCAUUCUUUCACAGUUGAGGUCAUUUUGGCACUGGCAUAAGGCAUAUCUAAGUACCGUAACGCUGCUGUGUGUGUUGUAGCUCUUCCCAGCAUGCAGUAACUGGGUGAGGAUAAACAGAAUGAUAAUGCUGUCAGACGUUGUUAUUCUUUCUGGCUAAUUUUCCCCCGUCUUGGCUUUAAUUCAGAUGUCAAAAUGGAGCCUGUCACAUUGUGUCCUCCCAGUCCUUCGGCUUCCACAUUCUCUCGUUACGCUCGCGCUUCCUUUCUUUCAUCUUUCCAUUCAUCGGAGGGAGGAAGGGAAAAUGUCACUCUCUUAGUGCUGUCCUCCAGCGCUUGUCAUCUUAACAGCAUCGGAGUGACAUCUGCCCCCGCCGGGAGAGUUCCCUCGGUGACAAGCACCCGUUACGAUGCCUCUGUCUGAUUGGAUAAUGAACUGUAAAAUUCCCCAUCAGUCAAUCAGUCCAGCUUUAUUAUUGUAGCUGUGACACCCAACACAAUCGAAUUGUCACUGAUUGUGUUAUGAUUUACACAAAGGCACUUGCUUUUAAAUUCCUUAAACAGACACGAGGAAUAUAAGACUUAAGGUCUGGCCAUGAACCAUGGAUUUAUGAAAGGUUUGUACGAAAAGAGCUCCUUAAUUUGCAACAUCUUGGAUCAUGUACUGGACUCCGGACUCUGACCCAUGCUGGUUCCAACAAUCAGUAGCAUCUUAAAGGAGAUCAUGUUGUACAAUGUCCUGCUCUCCCUUGGCUCCUCUCUACAACAAUGCCCUGACUGAGCCUUUCACUACGGCCAUGCUUGGCACAAAAGCACAACGGAAAUUGGGGUAACUUUGGGGAGGGCUUAGUGGGCCACUCUAUAAAGACAGGGGCCUCUUGGGUCAGGAUGGUGGUUAAUUUAAAAGCAGGAAGUCAUUGUCCUAAGAGGCAAAACAGUUGGGUAGGACAUUUCUUUAUUUCUGAAUGGGAUGGCUCCUUUUUGACGUUGUUUGUAUUCUGUUUGUAUCAGACCUCUGUGUCUUUGUUUGAGGAUGUGAGGUAUGUUGAACCUCCCUGGUUUGAUUAGAUACUUCCUCUGACCACACAGGGAUGGAACAUUGCCACUUCUGCACCAACCAGCCAAUUAUUCUAGUUGUAAAAUAAAUAAAAAUAAAAAUCAACAAAGUUGCUGUGUCAUACAUUUAUCCUCAGGUUUAUUUAAUUAUCAUUUUUUUUAUAUUAUAAUAACAUAUAUAUUUCUUAUGUUUGUUACAUUUUAUUGUUUUUCUUUACCAAACAGUUUUUCCUAUCUGUCCAGUUUUGUUAGAUUUGGUUACUAUAUAAAAGGAAUCCAUUCCGAUCAUUUUUAAUUCCCAUUAAUUUUGUUUACUCAGCUCUGCACUUUGUGUUCUGUUGUGUUUUUCUUCUAUUCUGUUUUAGAUUGUGCUCUUGGUGCUAUCACCUUUUGUCUGAAUGGGGCAAAUAUUUAGCAGCACCUCAGCAUGGCUGAAUUGGGACUCAAUUGGGGCUAAAUUGGGGCAGAUGGGUGCAGAGCAGCACUGAUGGUAAACAGAGCCUGUUUUGGGGGCCGCCAUGUUUGCCUGGCAGGUGAGAGAGGUGCUCUUGUGUUAAGUGGGCCAUUGCAGUGAGGGGCCCGCAUGCUGCUUGAGAAUGCCUAAAUUCUGCUCUCCACCAUCAGGCUUUGUCAGGCCUGCCUUUCUCAGGGCCCCAGAAUCAGGACCCCCCCACCAACACCCAAUGCGCGCUUCACAUCCUCCCCCUGGCAUGCUUGUAAGCGCAAAUGUGAAGUGGUUCAUUACAGACAGCCUCCUCUCUCCAGGUUCUGGAUGGAUUCCCAGCACUCCAGAUCUGUAACAGGAGGUCUGUCUGAGAAAGAAUGGCAGGGAGUUGUGAAAGGAAAACGUGGCUCAGAAAGGUCUUGUCGGCACUUCCUCCAGCAAAUUAGCAGCUCUCUGAGGGUACAAGUACAACUUCAUUGACCUGGCCAAUUCUGGAAAAUGUCCCACGCUGUCCUCCCCCAUGGCAGCCCAUCUCUGUUCUUCUGAUGACAUACCCCAGUUACUUCACCAAUUAAGAAGAGAAAUAGACCAGCUAUGAAAGCAUGGUGCUGUGCGGUUACGCACUGCCCUAACAGAGGAAUUUCUUCAUGCAGGUUAUUCUGUUUUUACACAAGUCUACAUUCCAUCUCACAUAAAAUCUUUGUUUAUUUAUGAUUCCGUAUUUAAGGGUCCUGUACACGUUUUGAUAACCUCACCAUUUUGUCAGCACCCUCAUUCACCUUUUCAAAUGAUCAUUUGGAUGCACAUGAAUCAGAGACAUACCCCCCUUCCCCCCGUCUUAGUCAAGGGCAUCUUGUGAAAGCCUUUCUAACUGCUAUCUUUUGCUCUGAUUAUUCAAUCAGGAACAGAUAAAGUAAUCUAACCUUGGACCAAAACACCACUGGCAUUCCUGCAUUUAGAAUCCUAAUGUUCUAUUACUAUUAUAGUCAAACAAAAUUCUAUACAUUGUAAUUUAGCAUUUAUUAUGCCAGGAAAGUCUGUCUGAAAUUAAAGCCCUUUCAGGUGUCUGUUUGACCUUCUCAAAAUUGCUUUGCUCUGAAAAACUUUAUUUAAAAAAAAAAAAAAAACUAGAAAGAAACCAUUCCAUAUGCUAGGAAUUCAGCAUUUCAUGUUUAAUUUAAAGUAGCUUUUUCUAUUUGAGUGUUAACAGACAAAUAUUUUGUCUUUUAUUUAUCAGAAAUCAGACUUACGAUAGCCCUGGAGAUGAGGAAGGCUGCAUUCACUUCAGAAGUGUGAAAUUUUUUCUGCAUGUAAGUCUACGCUUAUUGUAUGUGGGGGUUGGGUAUAUCCAUGUACCAGAAAAUGGGAUUUUACACCACAUCAGGAUACAAUGGCUGAUGAGCUUCCAAAGUGGGAUGAGAAGGAGAAAGGGUUAUACCCUACAACCAACUGACUGUCAAUUUGCUUACAUGGUAACCCUUAUGUCCAUGCUAAUGUCAACUAGACAGACAACAUUAUUAUUGGGUAAUUUGUCUGGCUGCAUUUCUGUUCGAGUGUGUGUGUCAGGGCCAGAUAGUUUCCCAUUGCUGUGUGUAUCCGGCAGGCUUCUAGAGUAUCUUAUCUUUUAAUGCCUUCAACUGAUCUUCCAAUUAUCCAUGCCACCUAAUAGCCUGGUUUUGGGAGGUGUGUGUGUUUCUGGUGGUGUUGGGGAGGCUGAAGGUGAGGAGUAGCACAAGGGGUGUAGACUGAUGAGGCCAGGUUUUAGGGUUCAGGCUUUAAGUGAUAGUUCUGCUUGAGAGAAUGGCUAAGGGUUUAUUGUGUAAGGGGGCAUGGGCUGUGUUCAGGUUGCCUUGUUUCAGGGCUUGCUGAUAACACCACCUCAGCCCUUGAGACAUCAUUCUGCUAUGUAUAUUAACACUGCUUAUCUUCACUCAGAUAAAGCCAUGUGCCAAUUGCCUUUCGGAGGAAUUAGCGCCUCAUCCCCGGCUAACCAGCAGUGAUUAACCUUUCCACUGGCCAGUAUCCUCUCCGUUGCCUCUUGGCUCAGAUUAGACUAGGCAUCAUUACUAGAAGUAAGACUGGUGAAAUGAGCUGCUGUGCCUUUCUCUGAUACUCACAGGAAAUCUAUGUGCGUUAGAACAGUAUGCAUAUCUGACAAUACUGUGUAUUUCUGCCUGUAGUGAAAACUUUAUUCCACAUCAGCAGAAUAGGCAGACAAACAUAUGCAAUUUAUAAACUGUCAAUCACUGGCAGUUUAUUCCUGUUGAGACUUCUCUCUCCAAUAGCCAUUUAAUCCAUUAACCAGCCCCCCUCCUAACCACUACCCAUUAUUCCACAAAUAUCAUAAUACGUUUUUCCACACACCCAAGACACAUACACAAAUCAAUUAUUUCCUCACAAAGACUUGAAAGUACUUAGCAAGAUGCCUGAAGGAAAAGCUGUGGGUUAUAUCAAAUUGAACCUCUCAUUUGUUUUUCUUUUUUGGCACAUGCACAGUCUCCGAGCACAAUUAGCCAGAGCUAAGCACGUUUGUUUGGCCUGCUUUAAUCCAGCCGGGCAUAUCUGUGUUAUUACAGAAUAAACCAGCAUGCAAAUACUAUUGUUGGAGGUUUUAGGGGCAUCAAUAGGACCGAGGCAGUGAGUAGGCUGGGUGGGCUGACUCAAUCUGCUGUGGGCAGGAGAUAAAGACCGGCGUUCAGGCACACUUUCCCAUCAUUAGCAAGACGCAAAUAAAGAAAAGAAACACAGAGCUGACAUGUGUAGUUAAUUGUUAACGUUAUUACUGUUGUAUUGUUCUUUAGCUCUCACUGGGAUGCACAUCUGUGGCUAGAUGUACAAUCUGGCUGAUCCUGGCAAAUGCAGAAAUCUUUAAGUGUAUUCCAAAGCAAAAAAAAAAAAAAAAAAUCUAUUUUCACUGUCUCCACUUGGCUAUCCUUACAGUGCCUAUUGUCUCUAAUUUUGCAAUCUUCUGUGCUGUAACUGACAUAUUAUCUCGGUGGGUUCAGUGCUGUUUUCCUUAUGUACUUCACCUAGGCUUUUAAUGAAAAUGUCAUAGAUGCAGUGUCAAAUGCUAAACACUUUCUGUAGUUGAGGUUAGUUAGUGUAACUGGACCUGCUGUGGUUUUACAUUCAGCAUAAAAUUUAGCAUUCUGCCCAUUUAGAUUCCUUAGUAUAAUUAUUCAUCAGUGGAGAUUCCCAAAGCAAAAAAUAAUUAAUAACACAGCAAAAUGGUUCCAACAAUCAGUUGUCAUUUUCCACUACAGCACCUGAACAUCAUCCACUCCCUAGUGUGCAAACACUGAGUGUGUCAGACACGGUUAAUGCAGCCUGAUUAAUAUUACACUUUGCUUCUCUAUUUCCACUGUCAACUGAAAUGCAAUAUAUUCAGUGUCACUCCCCUGUGACACAGCCCAUUAUAUCCUUACUGAAAAAUAUAUAAUCUCAUUCAUGUCCCUUUAUGCACGGACAAGUAUGCUUGUUGACCAGCCUGUAGUGAUAAAUAUGUGUGUAGAGCAAAUAUGUGGCCUUGGGAUGUAUUAUAUCCUUACACAACAAAAAUAAGCCAAUUGCAUAUUUUCCUUAAAUGUUAAGAAUAACUACAUAAUAAUACAAGUCAGUAAGGGGAAUAACACAGCUAGGUAUACUUGUACUAAAGCCUUUGUGUAAAGAAGUGACCGUUUGUUUGCUUCUAUGACUAAAGUAUUAGGGUUUAAAUGGCUCUUCACUUUUCACAUUUCAUUGUGUGAGAGUGACAGAGAAACAAAGCAAUGUGGAUUAGUUUCCUGAGCAGGUGAACACUGAAGAGCUUUCUGUCUCUUCUGUUCAUUUCACCCCUUGUGCCAGAAUAAGACCUGCAGCCAAAAACCACUGACAUGUGGGGGGUAUGAGGGGACAACGUCUGGGAAGUUAGUGACUCCAUUUGGAAGGGAUUUCCUUAAGAACACUCAGCCGAGACAAGAGGGCAAACAAACAAACGCAGACACACCAAAGGCUGCUUCCCAUCCAUCACAUUUCAGCCGCUCAGCAAGUCAUAUGGUGGCCUGAGGUUUCUGACUCUGGUAAACUUGUAAUAACAUCCCAUUUGACUUGUCUGGAUAAUCAGAGUGUGUGUUCUCUUACCACCUCCAGCCCUUGGGCACCUGCUGGCUGUAGUUUCUGCUUACUCUUCCAGCAGCACAGAUAACACAGUGGUCAGUGAGCGCACCAUUAGCAUUACUAAAGCCGUCUCAUUCAGGACUAAUUGAUUCAGAGGCUUAUUUGCCUCAGCCGUGAGGCGUUAAGUGCUGAUAUGUUUACGUUGGCUGAAUAAGAACGGCUUCAUGCAGCCAUGAAUUACUGCCCAGUCCUGUAGAAAGAAGUGUUCCUGAAUUUUUACUUUAUAUGUAGGUGUUUUUAUAAUGUUGUACAUUGUUUAAAGAGGAAUUACCACAGAAUGACUCAUCUGAUAGCAAGCCAGCUUUCACUUCUUACUCAUAUAUUCCACGUCUGGGAUGGCUGCAGUUUCCUCAUUAGCACUGCUCUGGAGUACAGAGGGUGCAAUGGACUGUGAAUAGCAAGACAAGACAGCUCCCUGCUAUUACAGAACUGAAGGAAAUAAACGACUGUGAACAAACUGACAAAGUGACAAGAACCACCACGGAGCGAGAGGCUGGAGUGAGGGCCUUACAGCUGUUUUCUGGAGAUAAUUGAUUUUGGAAUAGACCAGAGAUGAGAGCGGACAGGCGGGGGUGAUGGCGCGCUGCAGCGGGGUCCAACCAAUUUCCGCAGGCCUUGUCCCUUUAAUUACUGUGGUGCUAGAGCACGAGAUGCGCCCACUCUCCCAUCCAGGUAAAUUAAAGCCACUUGCUCAACCAACCCUGCUGCAUCCCCCAUCACCCAGUGGUCUGAUGAAUUUUUCAUGGGUUGGCCUCUCUCCUUCCCUGGUCUGCCGCUGUGGCUGGAGGCAGUGCUGUUGGUGCCUUUUCUCAUGCACACUUAGAGCUUUCCAUCUGACAGCUUAUGAGGAGAAUGUUGCAUAGACAUGGAUAAAUCAGGGAAUGAUUCUACUGUUGACUUUUUUUCAAUCUGUCUGGAUUCUCAAGACCUAAAUGAGCAAUAAUAGCCUACAGAUUUGUCAAUAAGAGCAACAACAUGCUCAGAUGCCUUAAGUGAUAAUUUGUGCUUAUUUCAUUAUUAGGCUCUCAAGAGGCUAACAUGGACAUAGUUUAAGUGGACAAGCUGCUUGUUUUGUACUCUGUUUUGGACCCCUUAUUAACCCUAACCUCUCAUCUCCUAGCUGUACCCAUCAUGCCUCCCCUUGACUCUGUGCACAAUAGGAGCAGAGCAGUGCAUCUUAUGGAAAGAGACAUGUGGUGGUGUGUUCUGCAGGGUUAAUCCCCCCGUGGGGGAAGAUGACAGGAUCUCGGUGGCCCUGAAUAUGUAUCAAACUGCCACAAGUCACAUUCCAAACCAGUUUAAAUCGGACGCUUUUAGCAAGAGUCCUGCCUGCAGAGCAGUUAGGCCCCCCAUUAUAAUAUUAUAAUAGUCUAUUAAUGUUGUUACAACACUAGCUGUGUCUAAGGCAUUGUUUGCAUCCCAAUAAUGUCAGUGCUUGUUUUUCUUAGUAUUUGUGUUGAUUUGACCUUCUGCAGCUGUGUCUUGAAGUGAGUUGAAUCUCCAGCUUCAAGGGACAAUAGAGCUGACAACUCUGACAGGUAUUGAAUGACAAAUAAGAGUAGGAAUGCAAUGAGAUGUUGAUCGAUAUGCCUUUGUUUAAAUCAACUGCUUGUAUUCUAUUUCAUUUUUUAGCAUAAUAUUUUGCAUAUAUCUAAAAUAUAUAUAGGAAUCCACCACAGCUAAAUUAUUUGCAGGUCUACAGUAUUCUCUGUCUGGUUUACUCACCGAGAAGCAGUAGCUUACCAUAAUCACUUGAGUGCAGUUGUUUGAACACCCUGUGGCUUUUGGGUGAAAAGAGAAUGUAACUGGAUUCUAAAUUUACCUUCAAUAAAAAUAAGAUGGAAUGAAGUGUGGCGAUAUUCUGUGGCAAUCCAAAACAAAAGACUAAAUCAAGUGUUUCAAAGCAAUGAUUAGUGAAGACAGUUUUUAUACCAGAUAUUAAAGAAAAUAUUUACAGGAUAUCACAAUCAGACUGGGUGAUGUGAAUUAAUUGUUGUGGUAUUAAUAUUGAAACCUACACUAAUUGAUCCUGUGAUAAUAAAUGCAGAUUUGUAAAAACCCUACCUGGUACAAGUUUAAUUUCUUUGUCUUCCUCAUUUUGCAUGCAAAGGUUAUGCAAACAUUUGCACUCAACUGCACAUCAUAAUUAUAAUCUCACUUAAGGAGAAUGUUGUCAAGUUCAGGGCUAAUGACUUUUAUGGGUCAUGGAUAAAGUCAAUUAUUUUGCUAUGAUAAUUUCUGAGUUCAGCAGACCUUCAGAUUUUGCCCUUUGGUCUUGUUUCUUUCAAGGUAAGAAACUAAAAAUCAUAGUAGGUAUGGUUUAUUCUGUCUGUCCUCUCAUUUUCAGAAAGAGAGACAGGCUGCUAGACAAUGAGCAUACCAUCAUAAUCCAUCACUAUUUAAUGAGACCAGGAGUGUGGUAUCAGGAAAAUCUCCAGGAACGCACAGUAAUGAGGAUAUGAUAUCAAGGGGGAAUCGGAUACCCAGAAACGCUUGGUCCCAUCUGCAUUAUAAAAGGAAGAAAGGUUGACAAUCACAGUUCAUCACUCCCAGAAAUCCAAGGAAUGAUUGACAAUUUCACAGGCAGAGCAAAUUACAGUGAAGAUUUGUGUUCAGAAUUAGACCCUGGAUAUCGCUUUAGAUGACCUUGAGGAAACAUUGGCACAAUGGUUGAAAAAAGUUUUAGUCUGACUUUAUAAAUUCCAAAGCCUGAUGAAAAUACAGUACAUAAGUAUAAGAGUAUAACAGUACUUUAUAUAGUCAGGAAAUCACAUUAGGUCAAAGGCGUGUCAUUCCAAUCAGCAGUGAUGGCAUUAGAAAGGGUCACCUGUUUAAACCACUUGGAUACUGAUUAAGAACAUCUGAAAAGAUUGUAUAGUUUUGUUAACAGUGGUAUUUAUGAAUUGCACAUGGUUGACACAGUGGAUUACAGAUGGUACUGCACUGAGUUAUGAAGAAAAAGAAAGGAGUAAGAAGUGAUGAAAAGAGCAGGAAGUACAGAUUUCCGAGUAUUAACUGAGAAACAAGAAGGGAAUGGCUACAACGCAUGAAUGUGCAAUACAGACACCUGAAACUUCCACAAAGACGCACAGACAGCUUUACACAAUAUAAGUGAGAUACUAUCUUCCUGAUAAUGUCUGCUUUAGAAACCAGUGUUGUGGAAAAACACACCUCAGUCAGAAAGAGCAUUUUAAAGACCACAUGUUAAAUUUGGACCAAACUUGCUGGACAGGUUUAUGCCACAGUGUGCAAUUUCCACAGUCACCGCUCCUCACUUGGACAUAGUAUAAUAGAGUGAACUUGACAAAGGACAUUUAAUUUAAUAGAAUUUUUAUCCAACUCCUGCAUGAGUGCUGACAGAUCUGACUGAUUGAGAAACUGCUUAAAAGAGUGUUGCAGUUAUAUGUGAGUCUAUCGAAAAUAAGAUUGGCCUUGAAGCAGAUGGCUGUUUUCAUAAUCUGAAAAAUUAAGAAAAUGAAUUUGAUAUCAUAAGGACUUUUUUUUUUGUUAGCCGUACACUGAAAAUGGUUGUUUUGCUUGUAUUUUAAUAUAAUUAAAAUAUACAAAAGGCAAAGAUAAAAUAUGAAAAUGCUUUAUUUUUUAAAAAUAAAGUUGUCUCACUCUGUUGUCUGCGUAAAGAUAUCAAAAUAAAUUUCAUCCUGUGAGAGAAAUAGCUCAUCACCUUUGAUUAGCUAAUGAGGUUCUUGUAAAUACACGUUAUGAAUAUUUUAGAAAUGGACGUAUGUGUGUAGGUUGGUGGCUUUAGACAAUUAGGGCUACAUAUAAAUUUUUUAUUCAUUCAGUGGCCAUGUGCUGUCCUUAUAUCCAGCUUAACUGUUCACACGUAAAUAUUAUUCUGACACGUCCAGUGAUAUCAGACAUCUCCACAUCUGCUCCAAUAUUGAUUACUAAUGCACCAUACAGCAUUCUAAUUCAAUAUACAUCAAAUUUCUAAAAUUAACAGCUGCUUUAGCCUUUGCUCCUUAUUU